rnacentral:lncRNA from 1 species
GUGUAAUCAAAAUUGAAACCAACCCUAAUCGAAUUAGGCAUGCAUUACACCCUUAGUCAAAAAUCGAUUUAAGCAUCAAGCAAUCAUGAAUCUAUAAAUUUCAUAUUAUCAUAAAUUUAAAAAUUUAAUAACUAAAAUUUAAAUCCAUGGUUCAAAUAAAAUCAAAAAUAAUUUUUGAUUUUAAGAUCGAUGCAAAAAUCGAUGCAACAUUUUUGGCAAAAUAUGAAUUAGAACAAUUCUAUAUUACAAUUUUGUACUUAUUUGAUCAAAUCUAAUAAGGGUGGCUCUAAUACCACUAUUGGGUUCUGGUCAUGCAGCAGAAAGUAAAUUUUAAAAUUUUUUAAACAUACAUAUCGAGAGCUUUAAUAUUUAAAAGUAUCGAACCGAAAUUCAAACUCUAGAAUCACCUUGUAGAUGUCGAACAAAACAAAAUCAAGCAUGCAAAAAGAUAAAAAUUUAUACAUUCUCCAAUGAGUAGUAUGGUAGGUAGGUGAUCUCCACGAGAUUUCAAAGUAGAAGUCCUCCAACAGUGAUCUAUACGGAAGUUGGCUAAGAUCCUUCCUAAUCAGUGCGCUGCUGUAGCCUUUUUUCAUAAGAAUACUACCGACUUCGAACUCGAAUUUCAAUCGCACCAACGUUUAGUUGCCUUCAAUUUUACCACCAGGAUCACGUCAAGAGAAUUCUCUCCAGAAGUCUCACAACCUAGAAUUUGAUUUUGUGCUUCAAUAUAUGGAAAAAUAAAACUCUAGGACAAACUAGCAACACUUGCUAUUUUUUUCACCAUCCUUCUUAUAACUUUUUCUUUCAAUUUUUUUAUUUUUUCUCAGAUUUUUUUCAAUUUUUUUUCUCUUAUCACAUGCCAAAUAGCUCUGACUUUCAUCCAAAAUCUAGCACCUAAUCCAUAUGGGAUGCCCUAUAUAAAUA